rnacentral:rRNA from 1 species
ACCACUUUGUCAUUCAUGACUGGGGUGAAGUCGUAACAAGGUAACCGUAGGGGAACCUGCGGUUGGAUCACCUCCUUA